rnacentral:rRNA from 1 species
GGGUACUCGAGUGGCGAACGGGUGAGUAACACGUGGGUGAUCUGCCCUGCACUCUGGGAUAAGCCUGGGAAACUGGGUCUAAUACCGGAUAUGACCAACUGUCGCAUGGUGGUUGGUGGAAAGCUUUUGCGGUGUGGGAUGGGCCCGCGGCCUAUCAGCUUGUUGGUGGGGUAAUGGCCUACCAAGGCGACGACGGGUAGCCGACCUGAGAGGGUGAUCGGCCACACUGGGACUGAGACACGGCCCAGACUCCUACGGGAGGCAGCAGUGGGGAAUAUUGCACAAUGGGCGCAAGCCUGAUGCAGCGACGCCGCGUGAGGGAUGACGGCCUUCGGGUUGUAAACCUCUUUCACCAGGGACGAAGCGUGAGUGACGGUACCUGGAGAAGAAGCACCGGCCAACUACGUGCCAGCAGCCGCGGUAAUACGUAGGGUGCGAGCGUUGUCCGGAAUUACUGGGCGUAAAGAGCUCGUAGGCGGUUUGUCGCGUCGUCUGUGAAAUUCUGCAACUCAAUUGCAGGCGUGCAGGCGAUACGGGCAGACUUGAGUACUACAGGGGAGACUGGAAUUCCUGGUGUAGCGGUGAAAUGCGCAGAUAUCAGGAGGAACACCGGUGGCGAAGGCGGGUCUCUGGGUAGUAACUGACGCUGAGGAGCGAAAGCGUGGGUAGCGAACAGGAUUAGAUACCCUGGUAGUCCACGCCGUAAACGGKGGGUACUAGGUGUGGGUUCCUUUUCMCGGGAUCCGUGCCGUARCUAACGCAUUAAGUACCCCGCCUGGGGAGUACGGCCGCAAGGCUAAAACUCAAAGGAAUUGACGGGGGCCCSCMCAAGCGGCGGA